UGGGGUGCUAUACUGCAGUCGAACGCUUCUUUCCUCCCGAGUGCUUGCACUCAAUUGGAAAGAGGAGUGGCGGACGGGUGAGUAACACGUGGGUAACCUACCCAUCAGAGGGGGAUAACACUUGGAAACAGGUGCUAAUACCGCAUAACAGUUUAUGCCGCAUGGCAUAAGAGUGAAAGGCGCUUUCGGGUGUCGCUGAUGGAUGGACCCGCGGUGCAUUAGCUAGUUGGUGAGGUAACGGCUCACCAAGGCCACGAUGCAUAGCCGACCUGAGAGGGUGAUCGGCCACACUGGGACUGAGACACGGCCCAGACUCCUACGGGAGGCAGCAGUAGGGAAUCUUCGGCAAUGGACGAAAGUCUGACCGAGCAACGCCGCGUGAGUGAAGAAGGUUUUCGGAUCGUAAAACUCUGUUGUUAGAGAAGAACAAGGACGUUAGUAACUGAACGUCCCCUGACGGUAUCUAACCAGAAAGCCACGGCUAACUACGUGCCAGCAGCCGCGGUAAUACGUAGGUGGCAAGCGUUGUCCGGAUUUAUUGGGCGUAAAGCGAGCGCAGGCGGUUUCUUAAGUCUGAUGUGAAAGCCCCCGGCUCAACCGGGGAGGGUCAUUGGAAACUGGGAGACUUGAGUGCAGAAGAGGAGAGUGGAAUUCCAUGUGUAGCGGUGAAAUGCGUAGAUAUAUGGAGGAACACCAGUGGCGAAGGCGGCUCUCUGGUCUGUAACUGACGCUGAGGCUCGAAAGCGUGGGGAGCAAACAGGAUUAGAUACCCUGGUAGUCCACGCCGUAAACGAUGAGUGCUAAGUGUUGGAGGGUUUCCGCCCUUCAGUGCUGCAGCAAACGCAUUAAGCACUCCGCCUGGGGAGUACGACCGCAAGGUUGAAACUCAAAGGAAUUGACGGGGGCCCGCACAAGCGGUGGAGCAUGUGGUUUAAUUCGAAGCAACGCGAAGAACCUUACCAGGUCUUGACAUCCUUUGACCACUCUAGAGAUAGAGCUUUCCCUUUCGGGGACAAGUGACAGGUGGUGCAUGGUGUCGUCAGCUCGUGUCGUGAGAUGUUGGGUUAGUCCCGCACGAGCGCACCCUUAUGUAGUGCAUCAUUAGUGGCACUCUAGCGAGACUGCCGUGACAACCGAGAGGUGGGGAUGACGUCAUCAUCAUGCCCUUAUGACCUGGCUACCACUGCUUACAUUGGGAAGAUAACACAGAGUUGCGUUUAGAUACCUGCGAGAGGUCAUAUGUUCCAAAAUCAUCUCUCUCUC
rnacentral:rRNA from 1 species